rnacentral:lncRNA from 1 species
AGGUGGGGAGCAUGAAUAAGGACCCUUAGAUCUUCAUAUUGCUUCUCCUCUAUUGAUCAAUAAGUCGCAUUUACACUAGAUCUUCAUGAAAAAUGAUUUUUUAAUUUGACCCCUUAAGAUUUAAGUUAUAUUCAUACUUGAUUUCAUUUAUCUUCUAAUUUGGAUCGUUGAUUGGAGAGGUUACUUCUUGAUCCUUGAUCUUUCAGUCAUGUUCCCACU